rnacentral:antisense_RNA from 1 species
ACACUGACUUCAAAUAUCUUUGGGAAUUUGUGCUCUUUAUUUACUGAGUGCUUGAGAAGAAAAGACAAAGCCAGUGGAAUGGUCCGAGUGUGGCAUCCGCUGCAUUUAUAAAGAAUAAGAGCUGCAGUGGGUGUGAUUCUUGGACAGAGUGGCGCUCAUCCUUGUUCCUGCAAUGAAGGACAUGCCAGCCUCCAGGCUCUUUGACAGAUGAUUGGAACUGUGCAAAUAUUAUGGAAGAUAUCCCGUGUCAAGAAGCUGACAGCACACACGUUUGGGAAGGAUUUAGCGGCUGAAGCACUUCUAGAAGACACCACCAAAAUGAAACAGUCUACUAUCAGCAAAGAAUGCCAGAGCAAGAGUGUGAAACAGAGCACAGAGCCGUGAUGCUGCCCCCUGCCGGUGGUGCAGGAGAAAGGACUCAACCUCAGUCUACGACUCCUGCCAAGAGUUAUCAGCCACACUAGAAACUAAAGGGUGAAAACAGGGUUUCUCUGCUGCAAUUCCAUCUCUUCCUCUAGAAACUUGUCGUAGGAAUGACUCCCUGUAACUUCCCACACCUGCCUCUUCUUUCCUUAAGUGGUGGCUAACAGAAUCCUUUCCUUCCUCGGUCCUUGCUAAGUGACUGAAUUCAGAAACUCCUGGACAAUAUUACAACCAUCUGUAUUAUUGGUCUUUGGAGCUCUAGACUUAUUUUAGAAAGAAAAAUGUGGCAAAUCAUCCAAGAAUUUCCCUGUGCACAGCAUAGGGAUCUGUUUCUCUUACCAUCAGAAAGGGAUUCAUAGUCAUAAUCAUAUUCGUCCUCCUCAUCUUCCUCUUCCUCAUUAUUGGCAGGUGGGGGGUUGGCAUUCCCACCAUUAUAAGCCUGCACUUGCAUAGAUGCUAACUGAUGAGCCUGUAAAAUAGCAAUAAUUGUAAACUGCAGAUGCCAAGCUACUGAAUUCAUUUAUAACCUUUAAAACUACCCCUGAUGUUUAACACAAUCAUUAAAAGUGGCUUAACCUAUUUUGAUACAUUUGGGAGAGGAGAAAAAAAUCUAGAUUCACUCAAAAUGCAAUGUCAACACUUGGGUGAACGUCAGCAUUCCUACAGGAAGAAUCCUGGAGCUUUUAUAAACAAUCUCCAGAAGACUGUGUGCGGUGCCCAGCUAGCCAGGUUCCCAGGACAACCCCUCCAAGAGAAAGCGCUGGUGAUUUGGAGAACCAGCAUCAAUCCCAAAUGACUGAAGAAGCGAAUCACCCAUCAAUUUUUCAGAAGUAUGUCUCUGUUAAGAAACCAUUUUUUCCCCUUCUUAAAAUAAUAUCUACAGGCUCCUGACCUUGAGAACAAUGUUAGAAUCUCUAUGGACAAAGAGGCCAAAAGAAUUGUUGUU